rnacentral:rRNA from 1 species
AACGAACGCUGGCGGCAGGCCUAACACAUGCAAGUCGAGCGAGGACUUCGGUCUUAGCGGCGAACGGGUGAGUAAUACCUAGGAAUCUGCCUAUUAGUGGGGAUAACGAAUCGAAAGGUUCGCUAAUACCGCAUACGUCCUACGGGAGAAAGAGGGGAUCUUCGGACCUCUUGCUAAUAGAUGAGCCUAGGCCGGAUUAGCUAGGUUGUAGGGUAAAGCCUACCAAGGCGACGAUCUGUAGCUGGUCUGAGAGGACGAUCAGCCACACUGGGACUGAGACACGGCCCAGACUCCUACGGGAGGCAGCAGUGGGGAAUAUUGCACAAUGGGCGAAAGCCUGAUGCAGGCAAUGCCGCGUGUGUGAAGAAGGCCUGCGGGUUGUAAAGCACUUUCAGU